GUGAAUCAUCGAAUUUUUGAACGCAAAUUGCACUCUCCUCGGAGAGUAUGCCUGUUUGAGGGUCAGCCUAUAAAAAAUCGACAUCGUUGCUGUUUCGCGGUGGCGUUCGUCGGAAAUUGGGUCAUCUUAAAUCCUUUUGGUUUUAAGCGGCCUAAAAUUUUUCUUUUGGUUUCAUUAACGUUUUUAAGAUUUAUUUCUUUAACAGUUUUAGGUAUUGGUUUUUUUUUGGCG
rnacentral:misc_RNA from 1 species